UACGUAGGGUGCGAGCGUUGUCCGGAAUUACUGGGCGUAAAGAGCUCGUAGGUGGUUUGUCGCGUUGUCCGUGAAAACUCACAACUCAAUUGUGGGCGUGCGGGCGAUACGGGCAGACUGGAGUACUGCAGGGGAGACUGGAAUUCCUGGUGUAGCGGUGGAAUGCGCAGAUAUCAGGAGGAACACCGGUGGCGAAGGCGGGUCUCUGGGCAGUAACUGACGCUGAGGAGCGAAAGCGUGGGAGCGAACAGG
rnacentral:rRNA from 1 species